UAGGCAGGACAAAAUGGUCUGACUUGU
rnacentral:piRNA from 1 species